rnacentral:SRP_RNA from 1 species
GCUAUAGGAUGUGGUGACACACACCUACAAUCCUAGCUACAGGGGAGCCUGAGGCUUGGGGACUCCUUGAGUUCAGGAGCUCUGAGCUAUAGGGGGUUAAGCCAAUGGAGUAUCUGCACUAGGUUCAUGCUUAAUAUGGUGAGCCCCAGGAGUAGGAGUGGGGCACCAGGUUGUUUAAGGAGGAGCACAAUGGCCCAAGUAAGAAGUGGAGCAGGUCAAAGGUCCCAUGCCAAUCAGACAGAAACAGGACACAUGAGUAGCCAUGGUACUUUCAGCUUUGGCAAGAUAGGGAGACCUAUACUUA